rnacentral:rRNA from 1 species
UGCAGUCUGCAACUCGACUGCACGAAGUCGGAAUUGCUAGUAAUCGCGGAUCAGCAUGCCGCGGUGAAUACGUUCCCGGGCCUUGUACACACCGCCCGUCACACCAUGAGAGUCGGGAACACCCGAAGUCCGUAGUCUAACCUCGUGAGGACGCGGCCGAAGGUGGGCUUGAUAAUUGGGGUGAAGUCGUAACAAGGUAUC